CACGUAGGGGGCGAGCGUUGUCCGGAUUUAUUGGGCGUAAAGGGCGCGUAGGCGGUCGUGACAAGUCACUUGUGAAAUCUCCGGGCUUAACUCGGAACGGUCAAGUGAUACUGUCGGACUAGAGUACAGAAGGGGCAACUGGAAUUCUCGGUGUAGCGGUGAAAUGCGUAGAUAUCGAGAGGAACACCUGCGGCGAAGGCGGGUUGCUGGGCUGAUACUGACGCUGAGGCGCGAAAGCCAGGGGAGCGAACGGG
rnacentral:rRNA from 1 species